rnacentral:rRNA from 1 species
AACGAACGCUGGCGGCGCGCCUAAUACAUGCAAGUCGAGCGAGAAGACGUAACAAUACGUUUGUAAAGCGGCGAACGGGUGAGGAAUACAUGGGUAACCUACCCUCGAGUGGGGAAUAACUAGCCGAAAGGUUAGCUAAUACCGCAUACGACUCUUGGUCUGCGGAUCAGGAGGGAAAGCGAUACCGUGGGUAUCGCGCUCUUGGAUGGGCUCAUGUCCUAUCAGCUUGUUGGUGAGGUAAUGGCUCACCAAGGCUUCGACGGGUAGCUGGUCUGAGAGGACGAUCAGCCACACUGGCACUGCGACACGGGCCAGACUCCUACGGGAGGCAGCAGUAAGGAAUAUUGCGCAAUGGGCGACAGCCUGACGCAGCGACGCCGCGUGGGGGAUGAAGGUCUUCGGAUUGUAAACCCCUUUCGGCAGGGAAGAUGGAACGGGUAACCGUUCGGACGGUACCUGCAGAAGCAGCCACGGCUAACUUCGUGCCAGCCGCCGCGGUAAUAC